UUGUGUGUUGUAAGGGCGUUCGGUGGAUGCCUUGGCACGUGAUACCGAUGAAAGACGUUGUGGCCUGCGAUAGUCCUCGGGGAGUUGGCGAGCGAGCUGUGAUCCGAGGGUUUCUGAAUGGGGGAACCUGGCUAGAGUUGUGUCUAGUUACCUGCCUCUGAAUGUAUAGGGGGUGUGGGGGUGUGCAGGGAAGUGAAACAUCUUAGUACCUGUUUGAGAGAUAUUCCGUGAGUAGUGGCGAGCGAAAGCGGAGGAGACUAAACCGAGCAUGUGUGAUACUGGUAAGGGGUUGCAUGUUCGGGGUUGUGGGAGUGGCUUGUAUCCUUCUUACUGGGGAUAGUCGAGUGAUAAAGAAUGCAUAUAGCUGAAACAGUUGGGAAGCUGUACCGUAGGGCGUGAGAGUCGUGUAGGUGAAAUGUGUGUUCCUCGUGAGCUGCCACCCGAGUAGCACGGGACUCGUGGAAUCUCGUGUGAAUCUGCACUGACCAUGGUGUAAGUCUAAAUAAUGUUGCGUGACCGAUAGUGGAUAGUACCGUGAGGGAAUGGUGAAAAGUACCCCGUGAGGGGAGUGAAAUAGUUCCUGAAACCGGGCGCUUACAAUCCGUCAGAGCCUUCUUGGUGGGGGUGAUGGCGUGCCUUUUGAAGAAUGAGCCUGCGAGUUAGUGGCAUGUGGCGAGGUUAACCCGUGUGGGGGAUCCGUAGCGAAAGCGAGUGUGAAGAGCGCGGUAUAGUUGCAUGUUCUAGACCCGAAGCGGGGUGAUCUACGCAUGGGCAGUGUGAAGCACGUGUAAGAGCGUGUGGAGGCGCGAACCCACGUCAGUUGAAAAUGGCGGGGAUGAUCUGUGUGUAGGGGUGAAAGGCCAAUCAAACUCCGUGAUAGCUGGUUCUCGCCGAAAUGCAUUUAGGUGCAGCGUCAUGUGGUUCUUGCCGGAGGUAGAGCGACUGGAUGAUUAAUGGCCCGUAUUGGGUACUGAUGUCAGCCAAACUCCGAAUGCCGGUAAGGUGAGCAUGGCAGUGAGACUGCGGGGGAUAAGCUUCGUAGUCGAGAGGGAAACAGCCCAGAUCGCCGGUUAAGGUCCCUAAGGGUGUGCUGAGUGGGAAAGGAUGUGGAGUUGCUGUGACAACCAGGAGGUUGGCUUAGAAGCAGCCAUCCUUGAAAGAGUGCGUAAUAGCUCACUGGUCAAGUGAUUCCGCGCCGACAAUGUAGCGGGGCUAAGUACACCACCGAAACCGUGGCAGUAUGUAUGUACUGGGUAGGCGAGCGUCCCAUAGGCAGUGAAGCCGUCUGGUGAUGGUAUGGUGGAGCGUAUGGGAGUGAGAAUGCAGGCAUGAGUAGCGAGUGACGGGUGGGAAUCCCGUCCACCGUUUGACCAAGGGUUCCAGGGCCAGGUUGUUCCGCCCUGGGUUAGUCGGGUCCUAAGGCGAGGCCGUCAGGCGUAGUCGAUGGGCAACCAGUUGUUAUUCUGGUACCGGCGAAGGACCGUCCAUGCUGAAGCGCGGGAUACUAACCAUCCUUGAUCCAUUGUUUCCAUUUCGGUGGUUGUGGUGGUGAUGGCGUGGGAUCUGAUCGUGUGGUAGGCAAGCGUGUUAACAGGGGUGACGCACAGUGGUAGCUUCCGCGUGGCUAAUGGCUUGCCACGUUUAACAGCGCAGCCCGUCAUAUAGGUAAAUCCGUGUGGCGUAGAGGGUGAGGCUGGAUGAUGACCGGGUUUGUCCGGGAAGUGGGUGAUCCUGUGGUGCCAAGAAAAUCCUCGACGUGAGGUCCGAGCCGCCCGUACCCUAAACCGACACAGGUGGUCAAGCAGAGUAUGCUAAGGUGUUUCGAGUGAAUCGUGGUUAAGGAACUCGGCAAAAUGCCCCCGUAACUUUGGGAGAAGGGGGACCAUUUCUGGUGAUCGUCCAAGCGGCGUGAGCUGGGGAUGGUGGCACAAACCAGGGGGAAGCGACUGUUUAUCAAAAACACAGGUCCGUGCUAACACGUAAGUGGAUGUAUACGGACUGACGCCUGCCCGGUGCUGGAAGGUUAAGAGGAGAGGUCAACACUGUAUGGUGUGAAGCUUUGAAUUUAAGCCCCAGUAAACGGCGGUGGUAACUAUAACCAUCCUAAGGUAGCGAAAUUCCUUGUCGGGUAAGUUCCGACCUGCACGAAUGGCGUAACGACUUC
rnacentral:rRNA from 1 species